AAAAAAAAGAGAGAGAAACGAAAGAAAGGGAUGAGAGGAGAGGGAGCUACGGUAAGGGAGAAGGGGGAAGAGAGGGAGAGAGCCACGGAGAGCUGUGCCCUGCCGCCGAUCCGCCACCGAACUCGCCGCCCAGCCGUCGUCACGUCACUACCCAGCCACCACGGCAUUGCUGCCUGCUGGCGCCGAACCUAUUCCGCCGCCGAACCGAUUAUCGCGUUCUGCUGCACGCCGUCACGGAGGAAGACCAAAACCCAGGGAGAGGGCCGCGCAAGGAGAGGUCGGCGUCGCCGUUCCCUGAAGCCCGUGUCGCCGUCGAGCCCAGAUGAGAGAGGAGAGACCCAGCCUGAACCCCGAAGAGCUGGGAAGAACCAGCGCCGCCGCUGUGCCAUCGUCGUGGACACCAUCGCCGCCAUUCGUGCCUCUGAUUCGCGCCGGUGUGACUUCUGUCGCCGUUAGGCUGUCCGCUGACGUCACCGCCGCCAUAACCGCCGUUGCUGGUGACCGCCAGUGGAACCCUGAUCGUCUUGGGUCGAGCUCCGAGGUUUGCAUGUCGAAUUUUUAGGUUGCCGUUGAACCACUGGAGUUUCUAGCCGUUGUCGAAGCUCCUGCCGAGUCAGUUCGGGAUUGCGGCUGCUCAGUUCUGCUGUCACCGAAUUAGAAAUCGAGUUUGCAUGUCACGAUUGAGGCUGUUUUGCUAUUGAGAAAGUAAGCGGAGCUGAGGUUUUGGUUGCUGUUGAUUCCGGGCUGAGAGAAACGAGUUCAGUUGACACGUUUGGAUUAUGGUUUCGCUUACCGAGAUUUUUCCCUUUUCAGGAUAUGGGCGACGGAGUUUCAGGAGAGUUAUAUUCAUUUUCUGUUUACUCGACAUUAUUUUGUAUUAUCUUAGUUUUAUGUUUCCCUCGCCUUUAAUUUUGCAAGUCUUCACAAGAGGGAUAGGAUUUUGAUUAUGUAAUGCUUGUAAUAUUAAUAAUAUGUAGAUAUAUGUAUAUCUUUUGUAAGUAUUAUGGUUUGUUUUGUAAAUGUGGUUGUAUGUUAUUAGAUAAGAA